rnacentral:rRNA from 1 species
GAUGAACGCUGGCGGCGUGCCUAAUACAUGCAAGUCGAGCGAAUGGAUUAAGAGCUUGCUCUUAUGAAGUUAGCGGCGGACGGGUGAGUAACACGUGGGUAACCUGCCCAUAAGACUGGGAUAACUCCGGGAAACCGGGGCUAAUACCGGAUAACAUUUUGAACCGCAUGGUUCGAAAUUGAACGGCAGCUUCGGCUGUCACUUAUGGAUGGACCCGCGUCGCAUUAGCUAGUUGGUGAGGUAACGGCUCACCAAGGCAACGAUGCGUAGCCGACCUGAGAGGGUGAUCGGCCACACUGGGACUGAGACACGGCCCAGACUCCUACGGGAGGCAGCAGUAGGGAAUCUUCCGCAAUGGACGAAAGUCUGACGGAGCAACGCCGCGUGAGUGAUGAAGGCUUUCGGGUCGUAAAACUCUGUUGUUAGGGAAGAACAAGUGCUAGUUGAAUAAGCUGGCACCUUGACGGUACCUAACCAGAAAGCCACGGCUAACUACGUGCCAGCAGCCGCGGUAA